AAAGUGUGGCUGGGGGAACUAUUUGUCAGCUGUGUUCAAUAAAGUAAAUGUGGGGAGAUCUUGUUGCUUGCUUUGCUUUGCUUGUGAUCCUACCACAUUAUUUUUGGUACCCGAACAUUGAGUAAAUGUGAUAAUGAUUGGGAUAUGUAUGUAGGAUGUGCAGUGUGGGUAUACAACGCCACACUGCAGAAGAGUAUAGGUAUGUCUUCUUGUAAGUAUGUGUUAAAUUUUGAAAGGAUUAUUAGGCCGCAGUUGGGUUUGUCAGAAAGUGAUCGGGAUUUGAGGAAGAAAGUGAGUGAAAAGUUUGAAAGUUUUAAGAUUGGGGAUAACGUAUUGAAAGAGGUGGUUGAGAUAGGAAAAAUGAAUGUGAUUAAGGUGAGGGAGAAAUUUGAAGGGAAUUUUGAGAUUUUGGAAGUGGGACCGAGUGGAUUGAGUUAUGUUUUGGGGAAAUUGCGAGUAGAUGGGAUAUGGAUGAGGUAAGGACACACCAUAACCAGCUCCGUAGGUGGAGUGAUGUACCACAGUAUGUUUGGGAGAAAGCGAUGAGUGAAUGAUUGAGGUUUAAUAAGUAUGAGCUGAGUGUCAUGUACCACAGUAUGUUCGGGAGCAUGCGAUGAGUGAAUGGUUAAGGGUAAUAAGUAUGAGCAGAGUGUCACUGAACAAAUGGGUCCGGGAGAUCGACAAUUAGUGUUGGUAGAGUAUGGAAGAAAGCGGAAGAAUGUACAAAAAGGGAAUGGAAGAAAGAAGCGUGAACUGCAUGAUAAGGGUAGAUUACAAAUGGUUGAUAAGGCAUGUAAUAUGGAUGACUUUGAGGGAAUGAAUGAUAGUUGUAGUGUGUGUGGGUUUGAAUUGACAAUGAUAAGUGAGAUUUCAGUGGGAAGGGAACCGAGUAGUAAGGAAGUAGUUGAUAGUAUGGAUGAAUCUUUGCAAGAGGAUUACAGAAGAGGUUUGGUAGCAGAAAUAAGGUAGAUAUUGGGACCAGAGCUAGAGGGUGUAGAUGAGGUAGUGAAUGAGAUUUGGGAGAAUAGUAGUGAGGGAGAUAAUGGGAAUCUGAGUGAAAGUGGUUUGGAAGAAGUGAAUGGCGAUGUAACUGAGAGAGUGUAUGAGGGUCCUCAAACAAGCUCCAGGGGGCCUGCAUCUGAGCAUCCUUAGAUGUUACGGAAGGCAAUUUAGUGUGGGUGUUGUAAGUGUAAGGAGACAUUGUCAAAUGUAAUGGGGGAGGUAAUAUGGAGGGUCGUGGGAGAGAGAGAGAGAGAGAGUCGUUGGGUUGUUUGUAGUUUUCGUGAAUAACUGAGAUUUUAAAUGUUUUUAUAUGUUUGAUGAGUCUUGUUUCAUGUUUCUAUUGCUGUUAGGAUUGUGUAGUAUGUGUUUAUGUCUGUGGUUUUCUGGGAGGGAGAGAGGGAGAGAGAGAGAGAGAGAGAGCGUGAGUGGGGGGUGGAUAGUUAGCGAGUGGUUUGCUUGUUGCCUGAUUGUCUGGGUUGUCUACUGGCAUGGUUGCCAGGUCGAUCAGUCAGUCUAUGAUCAGAGUCUGUUAUGAACAGUCAUAGAAGGCAGUGGUCUUGGAGAUUAGGCCAACUGUUGAGGGUUAGUUGUUAUUGAUAUUUUGAUUGAUUUUGAUGUUGUAUAGUUGUUGUGCAUGUGUCUGUCUGGUUGAUGUUGAGUUAAAGAGUGUCUGUUGUAUUUGAUUUUAUGUUCUGAUGUUUGUGGGGUGCAUGUUGGAGACAGUGUUGGCAGUUGCUUGUGUGUUGAUUUGUCGAGUUGUCUUUGAUGUUGUUGGUGUUAUUUGUGCAGCGAGUUGUUGUGUUUUUGAGUUGUUGAUGUAUAUAGUGAUUAUUGUGCUGUAAUGGAGUUGUGGUAAGGUUUCGGUGUUUAUUUGUUCUUGUGUGUUGAAAUUCAGUGGUUAUUUGUAUCGCAAUAACUAUAUCCAGUGGACAGCACAGUUUCUCGCCUGAAGUCAGCCAUAUCCGGUAACUGUGAGGAUUAGCGGCAGAGGUGAAAGGACCUAAGGAGAUCACUUCAGUCUGUACAAGAUUCAAGAACCGCCUGAAACUGGGUAUAAAUAUGACCUGUCAUGAACUACCAAAUCGCAAUACGCCCUAGCAGUUAACACGGUAUCUUCCCGUUCCGAAGCGGUGUCAUGUCUUACAAUCUUGGCUUGCCACUAUAACGUACUUGUGUCUUGGUGAUGAACUCGGCUAGCUUUCCCUAUGACUAUGCUGCCCGGAAGCCGGACUCUGCCUAAAUGUCCGCCCGACAGUCCUACCAAAGCUGUCAUAUCUGAAGUUCUUGCAGCACUGCCUGAUGAGGAAUGCCAUCGCUUUGCUCCCUUGGUGAGGACCGCAAGCGACCAAUGUCCUUCUGCUGAUGCCCUGGUUCUAUCUAUGCAUGUCUCGUCCACGAACUAAGAUUUGUGUAGACCUUCACCGUUAUGUGCCUCCUUCUGUAGUACAACAGUGGCGCUCAACGCUUUCUGCCAGUGCCAAGUCUUGGGAUAAAAUUCCUGAGAUUCCAGUGGGAGCAUACACUUGCUGAAUGUUAUUAGUUUUAAGACAAAGAAGAAAACACCCCAGAGAAGCCGGCGCCAAGAUGCAAAAAACACGAGACAAAAGGGAAAUAAGAGGAAGAGAACAGCAAAGUCUCUCUCUGAUCUUCAUUCGCCUAGCAGAUACAGUCCUGAUCAGACACCGAGGUCGAGACUUUUCUCCCCCUAAGCUUGGCAACUCAAGACUACGAUUGUCAAAAACUUGGUACUUUUGGAUUUGAAAUUUGCUCGAGAUUUAGUACUGUCUGCUCUCAUAUAUAUAACUCAAAUUCCCCUUCAGAGAACAAGUGAAGUGACGAAAUAUUUGUGUCUUGCAUCCUGGAAGUGUUAAUUUAUAUUGCUAACUCGGAACAGUGUUAAGUUACUUCCAUUCUCUGCCUUACGCAAAAUCCCAAUUAUAUUAAAUGAGUUUUAGAUCGAGAAUUACAGUGCAUCCUUAAUUUGCAGAAUUAGGAGAACGCCAGACGUUGUGUACCUCACCCAUGUUCCACGGUGCCAAAGUGAUCCAUACCACAAUCCAUUUCCAAGUCCCAGAGUAGAGAAUUGAAGAGCUGCUGAUAACAAUUAGUUUAAGAUUGGGGAUCUUUGACAAAAUAUCAUUCCUUUAAGUUCAGGGUUCUUCAUAAAAGGGAUUUAUAUUUUACUGGGGUUUUCACAGUGGCACUAAUUGAUUUGUGAAUUAUCAACCUCAGUGCCAUGGAGUUAGUGCCUUCAGUUCCUGUAUAAUUUCUUCUGAUUGACAUAAUAAUAAUCUUAG